AAUGAACGUUGGCGGCGUGGAUUAGGCAUGCAAGUCGUGCGGAAAGGCCCCUUCGGGGGUACUCGAGCGGCGCAAGGGAGAGUAACGCGUGGGUUACCUACCUCCGGGUUCGGGAUAGCGGCGGGAAACUGCCGGUAAUACCGGAUAACGUCUCCGGACCAAAGGUGUGAUUCCGCCUGGAGAUGGGCCCGCGUCCUAUUAGCUUGUUGGUGAGGUAAAGGCUCACCAAGGCGACGAUGGGUACCGGGUGUGAGAGCAUGGCCCGGCUCACUGGGACUGAGACACUGCCCAGACACCUACGGGUGGCUGCAGUCGAGAAUCUUCGGCAAUGGGCGCAAGCCUGACCGAGCGACGCCGCGUGCGGGAUGAAGGCCUUCGGGUUGUAAACCGCUGUCAGAGGGAAGGAAAUGCAGGUGGGUUCACCUGCCUGUUUGACCGAUCCUCAGAGGAAGUACGGGCUAAGUUCGUG
rnacentral:rRNA from 1 species